rnacentral:rRNA from 1 species
AUUGAACGCUGGCGGCAUGCCUUCCACAUGCAAGUCGAACGGCAGCGCGGGGGCUUGCUCCUGGCGGCGAGUGGCGAACGGGUGAGUAAUACAUCGGAACGUACCCAGAAGUGGGGGAUAACGUAGCGAAAGUUACGCUAAUACCGCAUAUUCUGUGAGCAGGAAAGUGGGGGAUCGCAAGACCUCACGCUUUUGGAGCGGACGAUGUCGGAUUAGCUAGUUGGGGAGGUAAAGGCUGACCAAGGCGACGAUCCGUAGGGGGUCUGAGAGGAUGAUCCGCCACAGUGGGUCUGGGACACGGCCCAGAAUCCUAGGGGAGGCAGCAGGGGGGAAUUUUGGACAAGGGGGGCAUGCCUGUUCCAGCCAUGCCGCGUGAGUGAAGAAGGCCUUCGGGUUGUAAAGCUCUUACGCGAGGGAAGAAAGCGCACUGGUUAAUACCUGGUGUGGAUGACGGUACCUUGAUAAGAAGCACCGGCUAACUACGUGCCAGCAGCCGCCGUAA